CCUACGGGAGGCAGCAGUGGGGAAUUUUGGACAAUGGGCGCAAGCCUGAUCCAGCAAUGCCGCGUGAGUGAAGAAGGCCUUCGGGUUGUAAAGCUCUUUUGUCAGGGAAGAAACGGUGGGGGCUAAUAUCCCCUGCUAAUGACGGUACCUGAAGAAUAAGCACCGGCUAACUACGUGCCAGCAGCCGCGGUAAUACGUAGGGUGCAAGCGUUAAUCGGAAUUACUGGGCGUAAAGCGUGCGCAGGCGGUUUUGUAAGUUUGUCGUGAAAUCCCCGGGCUCAACCUGGGAAUGGCGAUGAAGACUGCAAGGCUAGAAUCUGGCAGAGGGGGGUAGAAUUCCACGUGUAGCAGUGAAAUGCGUAGAGAUGUGGAGGAACACCGAUGGCGAAGGCAGCCCCCUGGGUCAAGAUUGACGCUCAUGCACGAAAGCGUGGGGAGCAAACAGGAUUAGAUACCCUGGUAGUCCACGCCCUAAACGAUGUCUACUAGUUGUCGGGUUUUAAUUAACUUGGUAACGCAGCUAACGCGUGAAGUAGACCGCCUGGGGAUACGGUCGCAAGNUUAAAACUCAAAGGAAUUGACGG
rnacentral:rRNA from 1 species